GACCGCGUAACUCAGUUGGUAGAGCAUUGGGCUAGUAUUCCAAAGGUCGUAGGUUCGAUUCCCACCGUGGCCA